CGUCCUCCUGGUUAUGACAGAGUUCGUAACGCUGAGAUUGGCAACAAGGACUUUGAGCUGGAUGUGCUGGAGGAAGCGUAUACUACAGAGCACUGGCUCGUCAGGAUAUACAAGGUCAAAGACCUUGACAACCGUGGCCUCUCAAGAACGUAAAACCCAGAACUCAAAAUCCCAGCCCCCUCUCCGGAACACACAGCAUUGAACAUCUGCGGCCCCAUACCAUGAUCUGAGGAGAAAGUGUGAAGUUUUUUUUUAUACUUGUUGUAAUUGCUGAAAGAGAUUUUCUUUUCGUACCUUUUUUUUCUUGGUUUGUUUUUAAAAAUUUGAUUGUCAAAUGUGAUGUUUACUGGGGGCAGAAGGUGUCAAAUUAUCACCUGAAAAGGUGAGAAAAAUGUUCAUAAGUCAUUUCUGCAAUCAACUGGCCAGAUAACGGUUUGAUUUGUCUUUCAGUGGGUGAAUAAAGGAGUGACUGGGA